GAUACGUUAGCUCAGUCGGUAGAGCAUUUGCCUUUUAAGCAAGGGGUCCCGAGUUCGAAUCUCGGACGUGUCA
rnacentral:tRNA from 1 species